rnacentral:misc_RNA from 1 species
UCACCGACCUUCCCUGGCGCCC